rnacentral:rRNA from 1 species
GUGGGGAAUAUUGCACAAUGGGCGCAAGCCUGAUGCAGCGACGCCGCGUGAGGGAUGACGGCCUUCGGGUUGUAAACCUCUUUCAGUAGGGAAGAAGCGAAAGUGACGGUACCUGCAGAAGAAGCGCCGGCUAACUACGUGCCAGCAGCCGCGGUAAUACGUAGGGCGCGAGCGUUAUCCGGAAUUAUUGGGCGUAAAGAGCUCGUAGGCGGUUUGUCGCGUCUGCCGUGAAAGUCCGGGGCUUAACUCCGGAUCUGCGGUGGGUACGGGCAGACUAGAGUGCAGUAGGGGAGACUGGAAUUCCUGGUGUAGCGGUGAAAUGCGCAGAUAUCAGGAGGAACACCGAUGGCGAAGGCAGGUCUCUGGGCUGUAACUGACGCUGAGGAGCGAAAGCAUGGGGAGCGAACAGGAUUAGAAACCCUAGUAGUCC